UUCUGCGCUUAAUAUUUACAAACAUCUGUUCUAAAAUCAUCCGAACACGAAAAUGUCCAAGAUUGUUAUAAUACAAGAAAUAAUAGUACCAUAAAGAUUGAGAUAAACUUGUAUAUUUUAUAUUGUAUUUAUAUCUGGGCUUGUGUUGAUCUUAGAGCACAUCUACAGUACUGGGAGUUGUGGUGAGCUUCUCGGGUCUUCCAGGGAUGCUAGCAGUUAGCAAUAAACAACUCUGAGGCGAGACUUCUUUUUUUCUGUUUUGUUCACCCGUAUCUGGUGAGUCCCAGUUUCACUCUAAAUAGCACCAUCAUAAUGGUGUUCGGCUUUGUUAAAAAGUAAUGCACAAUGCACUCCUUCAGAUAUGUCUGCUGAGUAAACGCCUUAAUUACUUGUCUCAUAUUAUCUUCUGGAGGAGCAGCAGUUCACCUGUUUCUGGAAGUCAGGAAAUCUAAACACUAUGGUGCUUGGCUUUCAAGACACAGUAUUUAGCAGUUAACUAACUGUUAGCUGCUCUUGUAUGCAGAUAUCAGAAAACCCUCAAUGAAAAAAGUCCCUGAGAAACAAAAGCCAGCUCUGAAGUAGGAUGAGUUCUCUGCUGUUUAUACAAAGAAAUGAUUGACGACCAUCGCACAGCUUCCUACAGUCACUGGCCAGAGAGUCAGUUAAGAUUACCAACAUGAUGUUCAGAUCUUUUCGGUAACUGAGUGAAUUUGUUUUCUGGGUCUACUGCCAUUAUGAAGAGAUGGGGGCCAGGCUGGGACAAAGCCAUGAUGUCAAUAACCAGCUGGUCUGGGUGCUGAUAUUUUUCAUCAAAGAAAUGACCAGUUUUGAUGACUUUGAACGAACUGUUCUCCUGCAGUGUAACAUCGUUUGACAAUAUUUCAGAAUUUAUAUCACCAUUGAAGAAAAAGGAGGUUUCCUGCAAUCCCUUUCCAAACAGAGCGAUGGUGUACUUGCCCCCAUACGCUGAAAAACAAAUAAACAAACAAACAGGGAUAUCUUCUGAACUUCCGAUUUAUAAAAUGGAUAGAGAAAUGAGCCAUUCAGACCAAAAACGUUUUUUGAACUAGGCUGUAAACAUGUUUAUUUCUUUUGUAAAGAUGGUCUCGAAUUGGUGUGUAUGUGGUUUCUGGUGUUUCGAGGAACUGCAGUUUUUAGCACUUCCGUAUUGGCUUCAUAUUUUGAUACUGGAGGCUGCCGCUUGGUUCAUACCCAAUAAAUUGUAUCUUGUGCACACGCAUUAGUGUUUAACAUGCUACAUAUACACCAUUAUUUCAUUCUCAUUAGAUACGGUCGCCAGGGACACACCCUAAAUGUUUGUCUUACCCCUGUAACAACCAUGGACACUAAGAAUGACAGUGAUCUGCCUUUGAAGGAAUGCUGUCAAACCGCUUCGUGCUUAUACUUUUUUUUAAUCAUAAGAUUGGCCGUAUAAAUGAACAUCCCCCAUCUUUGCAAACAAGAGGCAAAGAGGAGUCCAAGGAGCAUGUGUGAUAAAAGGCAGAGCUGUCAUUACAUUAACAAAUAUUAAACUUCUAUUUCUUGAUUUUUGUUCUUGAAUCAUAUCUGGACUCUAUAUUUAGACGUUUAUUCACAGUGCACAUGUUGGAUAUAGCACAACACACAUUUCCAGUGGCCUUUGAAGGCUGCAAUUUGUUUACUGUAUUUUAAUACACAUUCCUAUAAUCUUUUUAAAAAAAGUUGUGGAACCAUUGUCAAUAUUGCUAUCAUAUGCUCCAUAUUUAACAGCAAUAUCACCUCUGGGAGUGAUACAGGAUGUCAAAGUUGGGCAAUCAAAAUAAAGUACAAAAUGCAGGAAUGUCAUUCAUUUGUAUUCUACCCUCAUGAUUGUCAGUCAGCAUCAACUGUCUAAAUAUACAAACAUUAAAAAGAUAAUUCAGCUGUAUGAUUAUAUUUGUGAGGACAAAUGUCAUUCUAAAAGAUUCUGUAGUUUUCAAUCAGAGCAGCUAUCAAAUAAUUAAAAGGUUGUAAAACUCUCGGUAAAGGUAGUGGCUGAUGGAUAUUAGAAAUCAAAAUAAAUUAGACAAAAAUUACUAUUAAUUUUUCCCUCAGCCAAAAGCUGGUGGAGUUUUAUCUUAUUUUUCUUUGAAGGAUAAGAAAGCAUCACUUACGAGGUGGAGCCCUUCCUGAAUUCAUUUGUUCAGGUCUGUGGUGAGCAGACAUCAUGAAGGUUUCACUGGAGUCUCUGCAGAAGGUUUGAGUCUACCAGACUGAGUUUAAGUGAUAUAAAUGAGAUAGAUCCACCCCCUUGGGAGGAGUCUAGAAAUUAUAAAACAAAGUUAAGCUCUGUUUUCUUCAU